rnacentral:rRNA from 1 species
UACGGGAGGCAGCAGUGGGGAAUAUUGCACAAUGGGCGCAAGCCUGAUGCAGCCAUGCCGCGUGUAUGAAGAAGGCCUUCGGGUUGUAAAGUACUUUCAGCGGGGAGGAAGGCGAUGCGGUUAAUAACCGCGUCGAUUGACGUUACCCGCAGAAGAAGCACCGGCUAACUCCGUGCCAGCAGCCGCGGUAAUACGGAGGGUGCAAGCGUUAAUCGGAAUUACUGGGCGUAAAGCGCACGCAGGCGGUCUGUUAAGUCAGAUGUGAAAUCCCCGGGCUUAACCUGGGAACUGCAUUUUGAAACUGGCAGGCUUGAGUCUUGUAGAGGGGGUAGAAUUCCAGGUGUAGCGGUGAAAUGCGUAGAGAUCUGGAGGAAUACCGGUGGCGAAGGCGGCCCCUGGGACAAGACUGACGCUCAGGUGCGAAAGCGUGGGGAGCAAACAGGGAUUAGAUACC